GAUGAACGCUGGCGGCGUGCCUAAUACAUGCAAGUCGAGCGAACAGAUAAGGGGCUUGCUCCUUUGACGUUAGCGGCGGACGGGUGAGUAACACGUGGGUAACCUACCUAUAAGACUGGAAUAACUCCGGGAAACCGGGGCUAAUGCCGGAUAACACUUAGAACCGCAUGGUUCUAAAGUGAAAGAUGGUUUUGCUAUCACUUAUAGAUGGACCCGCGCCGUAUUAGCUAGUUGGUAAGGUAACGGCUUACCAAGGCAACGAUACGUAGCCGACCUGAGAGGGUGAUCGGCCACACUGGAACUGAGACACGGUCCAGACUCCUACGGGAGGCAGCAGUAGGGAAUCUUCCGCAAUGGGCGAAAGCCUGACGGAGCAACGCCGCGUGAGUGAUGAAGGUCUUCGGAUCGUAAAACUCUGUUAUUAGUGAAGAACAAAUGUGUAAGUAACUGUGCACGUCUUGACGGUACCUAAUCAGAAAGCCACGGCUAACUACGUG
rnacentral:rRNA from 1 species